CCCGACCCAAAUAACCCAACUAAAAACCCCAAUCCCUUCCCCAUUUUCAUUCAAUCAACUUUGAACCACAUAAUUGCCACCUCUAGGACGUCGGCAGAAGACCGGCGAGACCUCUGCCAUCGCCGUAGUUGUCUCCUCUGUUGAACAAGCUUUUCAAUGGUGAAGACUCGAUUGAAGACUCGAGAUUCACUGAUUUGUUGUCUCGGAGAAGGAAGCUGAGAUGAAAAUUAAGAUGGAUUUUUGAAGUUGUCGAAGGAACAAGGACAAAUUUCAAUAGAAAUGGAUAGAACGCUCCAAGAACGAAUUAGAUUAGAAGUGGACAAAGAGAUUAAAAGUUGUGGAUUCUAUAAUGUCGAGAAUUCAACAGAUACAGAUGAAGAAGAAAUUGACAUCUUAUCAUCAUCAAAAGGAGACAAAGUCAACUAGUAUGACGUCGUCUAAUUUCGCAUUACAUCGGAAAAAAAAGAGACUUUGGUGCAAGAAGGUACAAAAUAAUAAUAAUAAUAAUGACUCGAUUGAUUCGCUGGAGAUUCCCAAAAAAUCAGUUCGAGUUGAUCGAUAAGUUGUAAGAUCUGAUCUAAAAGAUCAACCCGCUACAACCAAUACCAUCAAUAGUAACACUUUCUUGAAAAUCUCCGACAGCGAGUUACCUACUCUUCACGUCAAAUUCUCACGUUCAUUUUUUUUUUAAUCUAUUUUCCUUCUAAAAUGCUUAUUUGGUGUGUGAUUAUACAACCUUUGAUGAUUUAAUGGUGUAGCUAAAUACCCCAAGGAGGUUAGGGUUCAUAAAAAAAUCACUUUAAUCCUGCUUACGGUGAUUAAGAAAAGAUUAUUAUGUGAAAAUUUACAUUAAUAUAACUAGAGUUAAUUAAUAAUAGACGACCUUCAAUUGUACACUCAUUUGUAGUUGGUCAUGUGGUAAUGUUAUGAACACUCAAUCAACACAUCUAAAUUUGAUAAUAUCUAUUUUUGUAUAUUCUAAAUGAGGAAGAAUUUUGAAUGAAAUGAUUGAACGCAAGUGAUCAAGUGUUUAUCAUCUUUAAUAAUUGAGGUGGAUUACUAUUAAAUGAUUGGUCUCCUCUUACUCUAGUUAGAAUGUUUUUUACAUGGAAUAGUAAGAGGAGAUCAAUCAUUUAAUCGUGAUCCAUCUCAAUCAUUCAAGAUAGUAAACACUUGGUCACUUGCAUCCAAUCAAUUCACUCAAAAUUCUUCCUCUUUUAGAGUAUAUAAAAAUAGGUAUCAUCAAAUCUAGAUGCGUUGGUUAAGAGUUCAUAACAUUACCACAUGAAAAAGUAUAUAUCAGGAUACAAUUGAAGGUCAUAUACUAUUACUCGACUCUAGUUAUAUCCGUGCAAGUUUUUUCACACAAUAAUCUUUUCUUAAUCACAGUAAGAUGGAUUAAAGUAAUUUUUUUUAUGAACCUAACCUCCUUGCGGUAUGUAGCUCCACCAUUAAGUACAUCGAAUGUUGUAUAAUCACGCACCAAACAAGAAUUUUUAGAAGGAAAAUAAAGAAAAAAUGCACCUGAAAAUUUGAUGAGAAGGUAGGUCGCUCGUUGCGGAGAUUCAAAUAAGUGUUAUUGCUGAUGGUGUUGGUGGCAGCGGGUUGAUUUUUAGAUCAGAUCUUACAACUUGUCGAUCAUCUCGUAACCAAGUAUGCCAUUGUGGUAAGGUCGCACUAAAAAUAAUUUGUGGCGACUUUCAGGUGUUCUGUAGCGACUUCUGUCGCCACAAAAGAGAUGAUUUCUGUCCAUUUUCCUCCAGUGGAGCAUUAGAUUCUUUACACGUGUCUCAUAAAUAUUUUAAUGAAUUGAUUUGAUUAAUCCUUUAACUAGGGUUAAUUACUUUUACAAUGAAUUAAUUAGAUUUUUUA